rnacentral:rRNA from 1 species
CACUGUAGCGCUGAGGAGGACAUUA